CACGGGGGUUGCAAGCGUUGUCCGGAAUUACUAGGCGUAAAGGGCAGGUAGGCGGAUCUAUAAGUUUGAUGUUAAAGGCAGUGGCUCACCCAUUGUACGGCAUUAGAUACUGUAGAUCUGGAAUACGGUUGGGGAAGACAGAAUUCCUGGUGUAGCGGUGGAAUGCGCAGAGAUCAGGAGGAAUACCAAAGGCGAAGGCAGUCUUCUAAGCCGUUAUUGACGCUAAACUGCGAAGGUGUGGGUAUCAAACAGGAUUAGAUACCCUGGUAGUCCACACAGUAAACGAUAAUCACUAGGUGUCGGGUUCGAAGAGAAUUCGGUGCCGUAGCUAACGCGAUAAGUGAUUCGCCUGGGGAGUACGAUCGCAAGGUUGAA
rnacentral:rRNA from 1 species